CCUACGGGUGGCAGCAGUGAGGAAUAUUGGUCAAUGGACGAGAGUCUGAACCAGCCAAGUAGCGUGAAGGAUGACUGCCCUAUGGGUUGUAAACUUCUUUUAUAUGGGAAUAAAACGUUCCACGUGUGGGAUUUUGUAUGUACCAUAUGAAUAAGGAUCGGCUAACUCCGUGCCAGCAGCCGCGGUAUUACGGAGGAUCCGAGCGUUAUCCGGAUUUAUUGGGUUUAAAGGGAGCGUAGGUGGAUUGUUAAGUCAGUUGUGAAAGUUUGCGGCUCAACCGUAAAAUUGCAGUUGAAACUGGCAGUCUUGAGUACAGUAGAGGUGGGCGGAAUUCGUGGUGUAGCGGUGAAAUGCUUAGAUAUCACGAAGAACUCCGAUUGCGAAGGCAGUUCACUGGACUGCAACUGACACUGAGGCUCGAAAGUGUGGGUAUCAAACAGGAUUAGAUACCCUUGUAGUC
rnacentral:rRNA from 1 species